rnacentral:lncRNA from 1 species
AUGGUGCUUCUCUGUUGCCUGUCGAUCCUAUCGAUAGCAAAAGCAGAAAACCAUCUAGCCUCAUGACGAGAAUGCAAUAAUGAACAUCUGUCAGGUUUAUGAGACUAAACAGCUCCAUGUAUUUAUUCAAUCAAAUCAGAAAGGAGGCAAACUUGAAGGGAAACGGACGUGCAUCCACUGCCUCUCAUAUGAUGCCACAUGGGUCCACCCAAUCUCCUCAAGCAAUUGGAUCCUUAGAUCAUAAAGCUUUUUCUUCGGUGGCUCUGAUUCAUCCUGAAUCCUAUCACUCAAUACCUGCCAUAAUGAACAACAUCACAUUAACCCAGGUUUUUGGCAAUAGUUUUGGUUAGCUUGGCAUUUUGCGCAUCAAAAAGUACGAAAAAUUUCUCUAACACACUACUUAAAGAUUAUCCAACAUUUCAAAUAUAUUAUGAUCAUUUUCGACAAAUUUACAUAUAAUGGGUUAUAGCUAGAGUUUCACAAACAAGAACUCUAGAACAUGUAAAUUAAUACAAUGUUCACUAAUUAGCAGGUCAGUGCCAUAUAGAAAGUAUAAGGAGAGCCGAGAAGUACUUUAUAACAGGCGCUGAGGAAUAACCAUUAAAGGUAGUUAUUGCUGCAGUAUCGGUCAAGGCAUUUGAGGGAGUGCAGUUUUGCAGGAAAAAGAAAAAGUUCUCAAAUAUACAUGAAAACUCAGAGAAUAUUUAGUUGCUUUGUUCUAAGAAACAGAUUAACAUUAAAAUAAGCAAAGAAUAUAUUUGCUCAAGCCAUUUCAUUUCCAGAUGUUAGAAAAAAAAAAAACCAGAAUAGUUUACCACGAAAAAAUCUAGAAGAAAAUACAAAGGGUCAGAGUAUGUGACAAAUGGAGUUGCAUGUUUCUAAGUAUUGCAACCUCAUUUUCACACCUACCUGGCCCAAAUCAAGGACAUAUUGCAAGAUAAAACUUCAUAUUAACCAUGUUGAACAAGGACUGGUCUUUGUGGGCUCUCUCCAAGUUGCAGCAAACCUUAACCAAUGAGCCCCAGAAAAAGCACUGCGGCCUCUCUUCUCAAAUCUUCAUCUCCAUUGUCUCAAUGAUUUCCCCAGAGAAGCAAAGUUCAUUUCUUUUGCCCUACUACCUACUAUAUUUUAGUAAACAUUUCCCUGCUCCCCACCUUGCAAAUGUGUAUUCUGCAGCAUGUCCAUGCUCAACAUAGAAAGAAUUUCUAUCUAUUGUAAAUAAAAAGGCCUAUGCUCUCCUCAGCGACUCUUGGUUUCCUUCACGAGCCGCGGUUAUUCAUUGAUUUUGUCUCUCUACAGUUUGUAUGAUCAUCUUCUUGGUACCCUAACGAAUAGUAGCAAACCUCUUUCCUUUCACUCCCAUUUUGUGUUCAAUAAUUAUGCAGAGUAAACAAUUAUUAUUAUUAUCAGGCAUGAUGCACAAAAGAAUGGAAUAGAACAACUAACUUGCUUCAUGAUUCUAAACACAAAAAGCUGAGAAUGCAAUGCAACCUUAAUUUUUUGAUAUCAGCGUUUCUUCUGAUGCUUGACGAGGUGUUUUGAGUUCCGACAUCUUAAAGAGAGGAAUUACAAGAGAGCAUGCAUCAUAUCCUAGAUCUUUUGGUCAUGCAUAUUGUGAUUGGAAGAAUGGCAUUCAUAUAUCAUGUGAAUUUCAUUCCAAAAGGGGGACAAGGGAAAAAGAAAAUCUUCACGAAGAGAGGGGCUUUACAUGCUAACAAUAAUAAAGAUAAUAUGAAAUUCGGAAAAAAGGAUUCAAAUACUGGUACUUGAACUCAUUCCAGCUUUUUGCCAGAACAGUGCAGUACCACAUACUGACACAUGAUACAGGAUUGCCUCCUGUACCGACACUGUGUACUGGUGCUCGAAACCAACCAAAUGACCAUUUGUACCAUCCUGCUCCAGCCAUAUUCAAAACCUUGUUCGGAACUAAUUAACAAUUAUCAAAAAUAAUUCAAGAUACCCCCUUUUAUGAAAAAUUGUGACUUAUCUUACAUUCUUCCCUUAAUAAAGCAUUCAGAAGAUGCGGAAACUUAUGCAAGUAUUUGCUUUUCAAAGUUAAAAAUUAAAAAAAAAUUCAUCCACCAAAACUUCUUACGAAGUUUCAGCAAAAAAUGGAUCUGAAACAAAUUAUUGGGAAAAAGAAUUCAGCAGAAUUUACCUUUAAAGCUGUUCCAAGUCUUCUACAACGUCUCUCACGUACCACCAACAGCAUGCAGUAAUUUGUGGAUUUAACAUCAACCCAUUUCUUUAAUUCCUUAAAGUUCUCCUCAAAAGGAUCUGAUUGGUCACUUUUGGUAAGAGUUUCAGCUCCAUCUAAACUUUUGCUGGUAGCAGUCUCAGAUUUCUCCACUGACAGAUCAGCCUGUUACAAUACAAGACUUAUCAAACUGCUUGAGAAUUCACCACUAAUUGUGACUACUCUCUCAAGAAGUAACCAAACAUAGAGCUAUUUAAAAUUACCCUAUGGUAACAGAACAAGUACUAAACUAAAAUAAUGAAUAAAUUACACACAAGAUGUAAAGUCCAGAUAAUCGCCUGAACUAAUUAAGGGCUAAUUUGCCAUGUAUUGCAUACAAUGAAAACAACUUGCAUAUGUAAUAUUUUGCUGUAAUGCAUUUCUUUCAGGCACUUGUUGUGCAUCUCAAGUAAGAAAGUGUGAAGUUGUGAACCAUAUGGUUAAGAAUGUGAUGCAAUUGAGGAAAGAACAAUAUGAAAAGCAUGUAUUAAUUAGCCGCGACAAGCAAGGAUUAAAGCACUAUGCAUCAUGCACAUGCUGAUUAGAGGUAUGCAUAACAAGUGUACAAGACCUGCCAAUACUUGGCAGGCAUCACCAAGGGAUGAUGCAGACAAUGUCAAUACGUACACAUAAGGAACAAUGAGAAACACUGCAGAAGCCUAAAUUUUAGUAUUUAGGCACAUUCAUCUGCUACCCAGUAUUCAGAAACAAUAACAUCUGUAUUUAGAUUUUUUCCAAGUGCUAUUUAGAGAAUUAGGAUUCCAACCUAAGAAUUCUAACCUGCGGAUUAUUACAUCAGCAUCAGUCCAAAGCAAAGAUAAAUCAAGUUUACUAACAUUUGCAGUUAUCAUUAUUUUAAUUCAAUACGGUUUAAAAAUUAAGCAUCUUGUGCAAAUCUUGCAAUAUCUUUCGAUGUCACUUAGAUGAUCUAUCAGCAUAGCUUCAAUACAUGAUUAUCAAUCUUAUGCUGACCCAUUAUGUUGCAUUGCUUGGAUAAUCUGAAACAUAAACCAGUUCACACUGACAUGGGUUGGUACAGAAUCUGCACCCUGUAUCAUGUUCUUAACUUUGCUUCAUGGUGUGCAUAGCAUCAUUUCAUAUGAUAUGGAGCAACACUUGCAUCUUAAAUGAAACUGCUGAUAUCAGUAUGUUACUAAAGAAAAUACUAGAAAGCAGGGUCAGCGGAACUGUCCCGAGCCGGACGAUUCUGGCCAUUCCGAGCCAUACCAGGGGCUCACUGGUCCGGUUCCGGCAACGGAAACAAAAACCGUUGCCAGAGGUAGAGAAGGAAAGAGAGGAAAAGAGAGAGCGAGCGGGGAGGGAAGCCGGUGGAGGGCCGACGAAGGCCGGCGCCUGGGCAGGAGGCGAGGUCACUGCCGAUUCCCCUGUUUCGAACCUCCGCCGGCUUCCGCCACCGUCCGCCGGCCUCUUUCUCUCUCCCUCCCUCUCUCCCCCUUCUCUCUCUUUUUCCUCUCCCACGGUCUAUGUUGCCCUCUUCUCUGUCAAUACAGGCUCGGCCAGGCUCGACACAGGCCCGUAUUGACUCGGCCACCGGAAAACCGGUAUGGUGCCCCGUACCAGUUCCGCCGACCUUGCUAGAAAGUUUGUAUUAUACAUUUGGAUAAAUUUGAAGCUGCCAAUUCAAAGUAGUAAAGUCAUUCAGAUACUUGAUCUUAAGGUUAAUUAAUGGAAAAUAAAUAUAAUAAAAAUUCAAAUGAUUAGCAAUGUGAAAUAUCCAUUUAAGGAGUGAUGAGAGCAAGAAAUUUCUAGCGAAGACGGGGGAAUCCAUAGGGGCAGUAAGAAUGCGCCAUGAAGCAGGCAAUUUUGCAGAUGACAUGAGGUUAAAUGUAAGUGGUGGCCGGCCUAUACUAUUUCACUUCAUUUAAACAGAGUUGAACAAUGAGACCAGGGAAACAACGAAUACUAUUUAGAAACAUGAAAGUUAAUAAAGGAUAGAUUUUAUGUGCAAACUAGGAAAAUUUAUGAGUAUAUGCAGUUGGCAUUGAAACAAAUAUCGGCGAAGAUGAGAAUGUUGUUAGAUUUAAAGAUCAAGGGCCAUCCGAAAAGAAAAAAUUAUGUUUGUUCUCUUAUAAGAAAAUAGAUGAAAGAUAUGCCAUCCUAAAUAACAUUAGGUUAUUUUGGAUGAAAUUGAGAAGUGCAUUGGAGAACAUGAGUGAAAAAAAUCAUCUGAGAUAGCUUCAUCCCACUCAGCACCGCCCAAAGAUGGCCUCAGUGAGGAGGGUAUCUGGUAUGCAAGUUGAUGAGUCAAAAAAAGAUACCUUUUCUUGUCCUUUUGAUACAAAGGAUCGCUUUUCUUGAAAAGAGAUGAUUGAAUGGAUCUAUAGUCAGAAGUUUACUUGUUUUCUUGAUUAGAGAAUUUCAAAGGAUAGAAGAAAACAUAGAGAUUGGAGACUGUGCAAUCAAUUUUGGUCUCACUGAGACAAAAGCUAGAUCUCUUUUCAAGACAAAAAUUAAACAAAAAAAAUAUUGGUGAAAUCAGAUUAAUCUAGAUAAUAUGGAUACUUAACAAAUAAGUAAUCUUACCUCACAAGAUUCAAUAUCUGCCAGUGCCAGUCCCUUUUGAUACAAAGCCUCUGCCAACUGGUCACGUGUAACUUCCAUCUUCUUCUUAAUUUUCUGCAAAAGAGGAAGAAUUCAAAACGAAACAUAAUUUCAUAUUUUAAUUUAAGGAUUAAGCAGGACUAUUGAAUUGGUAAUAGGAAUUAAAUAAGAUGCACUGAGAUAAAAAACUAAUGCAUCAAAUAUUUACACAAGAAGUGUAACUAUAAGCCCUGAAUGAAGUAUAUUAGUCUAGAGUCUCUAGACACUUCUUCCUCAAAUAAUCAAGAACUAUUAGAUGAAAGAAUAACUGCAAAACUUAGUUUAACCUCUGCUUCUUCAUCUUCAGGAUCUGACUUUAUGGAUAAGCAUUUUGCUAACUCUUCUCUGUCAAUACUGUCAAUGACCUCAUCGGCUGCACAAAUAAUCUGAAAAAGGGAAAUGGAUAAUACAGGGGGUUAAAAAAAAUUGCAAACAUGUUAUUUUCAGCAUAUAUGAAGAAUAGAUAAAAUGUUCAGGAAGUUCAUGAUAAAAAAUGAUAUUUAAAAUACACUAAUAACAUGCUUAUCCUUUAAGAAUCAAUUUUACCAUAUUUUUUCUGUUUAAGUAGCAUUUAGCAAAGUUCACUGGUUCCCUUUUUGUUUAUUGUUUCAGUUUCCAAUUAAUCUUCUCUCCAAUAUUUUGAAACAGAAGGUAGUCAAAAUUGUUAUUUUAUCUUUGAAAUCAGAAGACUGAAUACAUUUGGAAGUGUUGGUCAAUAGACAGAUGGAAAUGGCAUAGUAGUAGCAAUAGCUGUGGUAGUAAUGGAAACAAGGGUGGUGGCUACAUAGGUUGCAGGUUGCACAAGUGGUAGUGGUAUGACUAAUGGCAGUGGUGGCGGUGGCGACACUAAUGGUGAGAGUGUGGCAAUUGGAGGUGAUGGUCAUAGCAGUGGUAGCGAUGGUGGAAAUAAGUAGUGCUGGUGGUAAGGUGGCAUUAGUAACAAUGGUCGUGGCGACAACGGUGGCAAGAAUGCAUCCAUGGCACCAUGGUCAUGGGUGGUGCAUGGAAUUGGCAAGGGCAAUAGCAGUUAAGGCGUGAUAGCAGUUGCCGUCGUGGUGGUGACUAUGGAAUGAUGAAGUGGAGGGUUAAUGGCACCACUAGUGCUCGCCAUAGAGUUGGCAAUGCUGAAGAGUGGAGCGAACUGAUUUCCUAUUUUUUGUUUUUAAAAAAUUUUGAAAGCCAAAAUGUUCCACUAUCAAAAAUAUAAAAAAAGAUUCUUGAGAAAGAAAGACAUCACCAAACACAUUUUGCUCCUUGCAUUCUGUUUUCUAUUUUUAACAAAAAGAAAAAUGAAACUAAAGCAAUGCCAAACAAGUAAUAGAAUUUUCCAACACAAAAUCAAGAAAUCUUAGAAGGUUUUCAUCAUAGGCGAGAUCUUGACCAAAAUAUAAGUUCGCAAUUCCCAACCUCUCACCAAUAUGAUAAAACUAAUAUCUCUGCCCUUAUUAUCUCAACUGAUAUAUACUAAUAUAUUCCUACAUAUCUGCCACAACUAGAUUGACAUAGACUGCUAUUUCCUAAUCAUCCUUCUACACUUAAAAAUUAAUUUUUAAAUGUUAAACAUUAAUAUGGGCAUUAGUUCUAAGUUCUAACUUUAUCAUAUUGGUCAGGAUCCAACAUCUCAUUUCUUACAAUAUUGGCCAAAAUCUCAAGAAAUCCUGGUACCCAAUAUUUUCGAACUUUAUUUCUAGGACAAGAUAACAGAGAUUUAGAUUCAUCCUAGUAAUGUGCAACCACCAAGAUGGCCAAGAUCAUCAGUUCUAAUGGAAGCAAUAUACUAAUGGAACAUCAUAUUAUUCUUCACAAAGGUGAAUAUAAAUAAAUUCAAGCAACAAUUGACACACGAGCCAAACAAAGGAAAAAAUGAUUGGGCACAAUCACUCAACAUAACCACUUUCUAAUUUUCAGCCUUCGAUUUUGACUUAUUAAGUAAAUAUGAGGGGACAAUCUUCAGGCAUGAUCGAUCUAAAAAAAAAAUAUUCCAGAAAUAUUUAUGAAGAUGAUCUUAGAGUUCAAUUUCAAGAUACAAGCGAUCAUCGACAAAUAGACAAAUUCUGUCUAUGCAAAUAAUAAAAACAUCAUUAUAUUAGUAUAUACUUGCCUCUUUGUCAUGGCUAACCUUUUCUUGAUCAGCACCACUUGAAAGUAAGCCCUCCAAAAUUUUGGCAAGCAAUGGUGUAUAUUUUGGAUACUCCAUCUGCAGGUACAAAACUCACGGUUGAAAUGAAAAAGGGUGUUCAAAAAUCUUAUAGAACACCACAUAAAGAUAGAUUCUGAAUUAUACGUAAGUGACCUUUUAAAAGAAACAUUUCUGGCAACAAUAAGUCAAGAGAUAAUAAAAAUAAUAUAUGAAUACAAGCAACUAUGCAAGGAAAGUAAAGAUAAAAUAAAAUUAAUAAAACACAAAUCAAAACAUUGCGACAUGUUUUUGAACUGUGCAUUUGGAAGGGCUUGACGCACAGGUAAGGGUAUCCAAAAUAAAUGGUUCUGAAUCUUCGGAUAUUGUAGACAAUUUAGAGGUAGUAAAUCACAUGAAAUGAUUUGGAUUAUCAUUUAUGAGUCCUCAUCAUAAAGUUUGACCUGAUUAGACUGGAUCUCAGAUCUGGUCAGCAUGCUGUAGCAUGCCGAACCUUGCACUAUGAGAUAUCUCACAUUAUACGGAGGGAAGGAACCUUCAUAGCCUGUUCUGACACCUUUAACUGUGUGACAUAUCCCACAUGAAUGCAAAGUUUCCAGGCGGCAAAGCAGACUGAUAAAAGAUAAUGGAAGUAUUUCAAGGGCAGUUAAUCCCUCUCCACAGUGUUCUGAAUAAUGAAACCAAUCGACAAUUCUGAUUUAUUGUAUUCCAAAAAUCUCAAGAUUGCAAACCAUCUCUCCCUAUUCCUCCAAUUUCUCCAUCUGCCAACAUUUACUUUUUGACCCUUCCAAUUGUGGCAGGCGACAUCACAUACAUAUGGUAUCACAUGUCUAAUAAGGCCUUGAACUACUAGCAAUUACUAAGCUGAAAUCAUACACUAGUGCAUCCAACCUUUAGAAAGUUCCCCUUUUUCUGCCAAUAUCCAAAAUUCCAAAUAUAUAAACCAUUAAAAGAUGGGAAUAGAAAGAAGAUGAUGGCAGAUGCAAUGCUACCUUAAGAGAAGCGGAAAGUUCAUUCCAUGCUGAUCUCUCUUCUUCAGUAUCUCGUUUCAGGCUUGAUAGAACCUUUAUCUUAGCAUCCCGUACCUGAUCAAAGUGAGUGUGUUAACACAAAAGAGCUAUCUGGUUUAGCAGAUCUCUUUUAAAUAGAUGGAAACAAAAAAAUGUGUACAAUUUAAAUUGCUAUGAACUAUGUAUCAAACAUUUUUACUUUAGUAUAAUGUACCAAGAUGAAUAAUGGUAAAUGGUAAAUCUCCAAAAUUAUAGGAGAAAUUGAGUGUGUCAGGGAUUAAAUAGACAUUAAUAUGGUUAUUAUUUAGUAUUAGAUAUUUCUUACUGAGGUUUAGAUCAAAUUCAGAAAAAACAUUCAAGUAUAAAAAAAAUAACAUGCAGAAUAAAGAAAUGCCGGUCAAUUUGCAUUACAUGGGACAGUACAUAUCAUGUUAAUGCCUCGCAUGCAGCACUGGCACACUAUCGGCUGCACACCAGUGCAUUGCAUGCCCCACCACCAUUGCGCGCCAAGCACUGUCACAGCAUCUAUGAUACAAGCUGCACUAGUGCUUGACCGACAUGCGAAUGGUACACAAUAUCUCAAUCCAUGGAAAUGAGUGCACAUGCACAAAGCAUGAGGAACUUUACUAGUUCAAACCACGUAUUAGUAAUAUCAUAUAAAAAACAAAAAAUAAGCUGGAAAUAUGCAAUGGACAAAUGUUAUUUUAAUUACCCCUUCUUCCAAACGCUCAGAGACACUUUUUGUGCAGGUACCAGUGCCCUUUCCUUUGUCUUCAUCAACCUGUAAAAACAAAAUUCUACAUACAGUAAACAACCAUGAAGUUGACGUAACCUACAACUCCAAAAGAUAUGAUGUAUAUUAUGAUCUUAACACAUCACAUAAUCAAGCAGCUCAAAAAUUUUUGAAAACACUUAACUGAGAAACUUGAAGAAAGUCAACUAUAUUCUUACCUUGGAUGGUGGGAUAAGAUAAGAUAUAUGAUAAGAUAGUGGCGGUUUUUGGUUUUGGUCAUCAUUUUUGCUGCUAACAGUUAUGGUACCAUAGGAUAUUGAUCCAAGCAAUACGGCUCCAGCUGGAGAGUUCUGCAAGAAAUUACAAUUAUUCGGAAGUCAUAUAAUAUAAUACAUUAAAAGAGAAAAGGAUAAUCGAUCAUUGGUUCACUUUGAAAAAAAAAUACUAUAGCACUCUGCAACUGAUAGAUACCUUUGGGAGCUUUUCUCUGGAUGGUGGACCCAGAUAAAAUGCUUCUGGUUCACUGGAAGAAAAUACAGAAGCCUAGAUUAGGCCAACAAAAGCUUGUUAAAGGAUGAUUACUAUGAAAAGAUCCGAAAAAAUUAGUAUACCCAGGAAUUAAAACUGAGGUUUUAAAGGUGCCAUUUCCGAUUAUGGGGCCAUCAGGUUGAGAAAAAAAGCUCAAGUGAAUGUGGUCCUGCAUUUAAAAAUUAAGUUCUAUAUCAGUUAUACGAAGAAUAUUUCUUUCAAAUUGAAUAAAGCUUGUUACUGCUGGCACAAUGCAGAAAGUUCCAAAUUAUAUUCAACUAGACGCUGAAACUGACAUUUAUUUGGAAAAAACUAAAGAAAACAAAUGGUGCUUCUCUGUUGCCUGUCGAUCCUAUCGAUAGCAAAAGCAGAAAACCAUCCAGCCUCAUGACGAGAAUGCAAUAAUGAACAUCUGUCAGGUUUAUGAGACUAAACAGCUCCAUGUAUUUAUUCAAUCAAAUCAGAAAGGAGGCAAACUUGAAGGGAAACGGACGUGCAUCCACUGCCUCUCAUAUGAUGCCACAUGGGUCCACCCAAUCUCCUCAAGCAAUUGGAUCCUUAGAUCAUAAAGCUUUUCUUCGGUGGCUCUGAUUCAUCCUGAAUCCUAUCACUCAAUACCUUU